rnacentral:rRNA from 1 species
GGCGAACGGGUGAGUAACGCAUCGGAACGUGCCCAGUAGUGGGGGAUAGCCCGGCGAAAGCCGGAUUAAUACCGCAUACGACCUACGGGUGAAAGGGGGGGAUCGCAAGACCUCUCGCUAUUGGAGCGGCCGAUGUCAGAUUAGGUUGUUGGUGGGGUAAAAGCCUACCAAGCCGACGAUCUGUAGCUGGUCUGAGAGGACGACCAGCCACACUGGGACUGAGACACGGCCCAGACUCCUACGGGAGGCAGCAGUGGGGAAUUUUGGACAAUGGGCGCAAGCCUGAUCCAGCCAUGCCGCGUGCGGGAAGAAGGCCUUCGGGUUGUAAACCGCUUUUGUCAGGGAAGAAACGCUCUGAGUUAAUACCUCGGGGUAAUGACGGUACCUGAAGAAUAAGCACCGGCUAACUACGUGCCAGCAGCCGCGGUAAUACGUAGGGUGCAAGCGUUAAUCGGAAUUACUGGGCGUAAAGCGUGCGCAGGCGGUUAUGCAAGACAGAUGUGAAAUCCCCGGGCUCAACCUGGGAACUGCAUUUGUGACUGCAUAGCUAGAGUACGGUAGAGGGGGAUGGAAUUCCGCGUGUAGCAGUGAAAUGCGUAGAUAUGCGGAGGAACACCGAUGGCGAAGGCAAUCCCCUGGACCUGUACUGACGCUCAUGCACGAAAGCGUGGGGAGCAAACAGGAUUAGAUACCCUGGUAGUCCACGCCCUAAACGAUGUCAACUGGUUGUUGGACGGCUUGCUGUUCAGUAACGAAGCUAACGCGUGAAGUUGACCGCCUGGGGAGUACGGCCGCAAGGUUGAACUCAAAGGAAUUGACGGGGACCCGCACAAGCGGUGGAUGAUGUGGUUUAAUUCGAUGCAACGCGAAAAACCUUACCUACCCUUGACAUGUCUGGAAUCCUGAAGAGAUUUAGGAGUGCUCGAAAGAGAACCAGAACACAGGUGCUGCAUGGCCGUCGUCAGCUCGUGUCGUGAGAUGUUGGGUUAAGUCCCGCAACGAGCGCAACCCUUGUCAUUAGUUGCUACGAAAGGGCACUCUAAUGAGACUGCCGGUGACAAACCGGAGGAAGGUGGGGAUGACGUCAGGUCCUCAUGGCCCUUAUGGGUAGGGCUACACACGUCAUACAAUGGCCGGUACAGAGGGCUGCCAACCCGCGAGGGGGAGCUAAUCCCAGAAAACCGGUCGUAGUCCGGAUCGCAGUCUGCAACUCGACUGCGUGAAGUCGGAAUCGCUAGUAAUCGCGGAUCAGCUUGCCGCGGUGAAUACGUUCCCGGG